rnacentral:rRNA from 1 species
AUUGAACGCUGGCGGCAGGCUUAACACAUGCAAGUCGAGCGGAGAUGAGGUGCUUGCACCUUAUCUUAGCGGCGGACGGGUGAGUAAUGCUUAGGAAUCUGCCUAUUAGUGGGGGACAACAUUCCGAAAGGAAUGCUAAUACCGCAUACGUCCUACGGGAGAAAGCAGGGGAUCUUCGGACCUUGCGCUAAUAGAUGAGCCUAAGUCGGAUUAGCUAGUGGGUGGGGUAAAGGCCUACCAAGGCGACGAUCUGUAGCGGGUCUGAGAGGAUGAUCCGCCACACUGGGACUGAGACACGGCCCAGACUCCUACAGGAGGCAGCAGUGGGGAAUAUUGGACAAUGGGGGGAACCCUGAUCCAGCCAUGCCGCGUGUGUGAAGAAGGCCUUAUGGUUGUAAAGCACUUUAAGCGAGGAGGAGGCUACUGAGACUAAUACUCUGGGAUAGUGGACGUUACUCGCAGAAUAAGCACCGGCUAACUCUGUGCCAGCAGCCGCGGUAAAAC